rnacentral:hammerhead_ribozyme from 1 species
AUUUAGCUUACCAGUCCCAAACAAGACGAAACGAGUGUCCUGAAU